AGGGCCACGGAAUAGACUUAUUGAACGGGGGCCGGAGACGCGUCUAACUGGUAAAACGCGGACUGGAGUAAAGCUGGAUCGCGUUACUGGCAAGCAAGGACUUGGUGAGGACUUGAUGAUUGUUGCAGUAUGGCCUGAUAUGGAAACAGACCUGAACGAGUGAUAACCUGAUCCCAGCCGCUGACCCACAGCCGCAGGACCAACCUGACAAGGAGGACUAUCUGAGCCUGAACUGAAGAAGGGAGUCGAGACAGGACAACUGUUCAAGCCACUGAUUGUUUGCUGUGUCGGUGCAUUGUGAAGUGGUAGCUCCCGCUUCUAUAAAUUCACAUGCUGUUUUUGUGUUAAACUGAAUAAUAAAGUUGGUUCUCCUGAAGCCCUGUGAAUAAGCCUCAUCUGUCUAGUGGUCAUUCCAUUUGUUCACAGCACAGCGCACUGCAGCCACUAACCAGUACUUAGAAUGAGAACAGGCUGCU